ACUAUGCCUAGUCGUAAACUUUAACUUACCCUCUCCAUCGCCCGGGAACUACGAGCUAAGCUUAAAACCCAAAGGACUUGACGGUACCCCAUAUCCCCCUAGAGGAGCCUGUCCUAUAAUCGAUAUUCCCCGCUUAACCUCACCAUUUUUUGUUAAUCAGCCUGUAUACCUCCGUCGUCAGCUUACCACGUGAGCGUCAGUGAGCCUAAUGUUUUUCCAACUAUACGUCAGGUCAAGGUGCAACAUAUAAAAUGGGAAGAGAUGGGCUACACUUUCUACUAUAGAAUAAACGAAAGACUAAAUGAAACCUAGUCAGAAGGCGGAUUUAGCAGUAAAAUGAAACUAGAGCGUUCACUUAAAUGCGGCACUGGGGUGUGUACACACCGCCCGUCACCCUCCUCAACUUUGCAUAAAAGUUUUUAACACCUUUUCAGAGACUCAGAAGAGGCAAGUCGUAACACGGUAAG
rnacentral:rRNA from 1 species